GGGAACUUUCCCAGGCCCCGAGGCGGAUCGGGUGUUGAGUCCAUGGAGCGAGCUGAGAGCUAGAGUACAGAACCUGCUAAGGCCAUCAAACCUAUCGAUCGGAAGUCAGUCCAUCAGAUUUGCUCUGGGCCGGUGGUACUGAGUCUAAGCACUGUGGUGAAGGAGUUAGUAGAAAACAGUUUGGAUGCUGGUGCCACCAAUAUUGAUCUAAAGCUUAAGGACUAUGGAGUGGAUCUCAUUGAAGUUUCAGACAAUGGAUGUGGGGUAGAAGAAGAAAACUUUGAAGGCUUA
rnacentral:lncRNA from 1 species